rnacentral:tRNA from 1 species
GGAGGCGUAGCUCAGAGGGAGAGCGCCUGCCUUACAAGCAGGAGGUCAUAAGUUCAAGUCUUAUCGCCUCCACCA